UACGUAGGCAGCAAGCGUUGUUCGGAGUUACUGGGCGUAAAGAGUGUGUAGGCGGUUUGCCAAGUUCGGUGUGAAAUCUCCCGGCUCAACUGGGAGGGUGCGCCGAAAACUGGCAGGCUGGAGGGCGGGAGGGGAGAGCGGAAUUCCUGGUGUAGCGGUGAAAUGCGUAGAUAUCAGGAGGAACACCGGUGGUGUAGACGGCUCUCUGGACCGCAACUGACGCUGAGACACGAAAGCGUGGGGAGCAAACAGG
rnacentral:rRNA from 1 species